AGUGAACGCUGGCGGUAGGCCUGACACAUGCAAGUCGAACGGCAGCACAGUAAGAGCUUGCUCUUACGGGUGGCGAGUGGCGGACGGGUGAGGAAUACAUCGGAAUCUACUUUUUCGUGGGGGAUAACGUAGGGAAACUUACGCUAAUACCGCAUACGACCUACGGGUGAAAGCAGGGGAUCUUCGGACCUUGCGCGAUUGAAUGAGCCGAUGUCGGAUUAGCUAGUUGGCGGGGUAAAGGCCCACCAAGGCGACGAUCCGUAGCUGGUCUGAGUGGAUGAUCAGCCACACUGGAACUGAGACACGGUCCAGACUCCUACGGGAGGCAGCAGUGGGGAAUAUUGGACAAUGGGCGCAAGCCUGAUCCAGCUAUACCGCGUGGGUGAAGAAGGCCUUCGGGUUGUAAAGCCCUUUUGUUGGGAAAGAAAAGCAGCAGGUUAAUACCCCGCUGUUCUGACGGUACCCAAAGAAUAAGCACCGGCUAACUUCGUG
rnacentral:rRNA from 1 species